AGGAGUGAAUUACGUCUAAUGACUGCUGGUUUGGGGCUUUCUGAUGAACAAAAAUCCUUUAGUUCUGACAGCAGUGCACAUCACGCAGACGUGGUUUGGACUGGACCCGUGGGGACUGCCUGGCAAAGCCUCAAAAGCACUGGUUUCUUUAUGAGAUGUGAUCAAGAAUCUUGAGAUGAGGAGAUCUUCUCAGAUCAUGUUCUUCCAAAGGAGACAGAGCGACAUUUGACACAGGCACAGACUGCCAAGGAGGAGGCAAGGCCAUACGUCAUCUGGAGGAAAACCAGGAGAUUUACAAUAAGGAGCGCGGAAGGACACUUUCUCCUCAGACAGCAGAAUUUCUUCUUUACUGUGACCACAGAUGCAGCUAGUGGUGACCGACUCUAUAGGAAAUGACUGCUGUAGUCUCCAUCUAACCCCCACUAAGCCAAAUCCUAUCGGGAGGAUUCCCCUGGGCUGGAUUUUGGGAUUCUCUUCUACGCAGCCCUGAAUUUCUGCUUGGUGGUUGAAGCUUCCCUUAACCUUGCCUACAGCUUUGAUUUCUCAACUAAGACUUGGGCAUCUGGAGGGCAUGUGCCUGGGUCUUCUUUCUCUUACACUGGCAAAGCAGCACUUGUAAAAACAAAAGGGCUCAUCUGCCGGCUGAGUACGCACUGUGUACAAGAAUCUGUAUCCCCCUUCUCCUCUUAAUC